rnacentral:lncRNA from 1 species
UCCUCUUGUCGGUAGUUGGUCUGUUUGCGGCAUCCUGCAUCGUUACACGUAUUGCCGCUGCUACAGCGGCUUCCCCGACAGUCCUUCCAGCUGUGGCCUUCCAGAAGAAAGCCCUUUGCAACCACUUCGUGCAGCCUUUCGCAAGCACACCAGCUCACCACGCAUGUGGCAAGGCAAACCACGGAACCUACGGCUCGUUUCUCGUCAAACAGACACUGCCGCGUCGGCACCAUUUCGGCACUCUAGCCCUCGUCCCUUGCAGCCAAACAGCGCGCUGCCAUCUGUCACUGUAUGCAUGUAGUCUCCAGCCCCAGAUCCAACAAUUAAAGCGCGUAAACUCCUCAGCACAAGAGUUCGCCAGGUCAGAAGCCCCUUCGCAGUCCACCUUCUUACUCGAUGAAAGCGUGCUUGUUCUCAGACUUCUUUUCCCCUGGUGCCCGGCGCAUGGUAGCCCUGUGCAACGCCAGAACAGAGCAAAGCAUGUCAGCGGCCGUCGCGGUUCCGGUGUUUGGCCACUGUUGGGAGUCCUGAGCUCGCCAAACGUGCGAUAUUUGUCAUGACAUAAUAAAAUGCUUGUCCUGCUGCGUUUCAAGCGCCCCAGGCUUUGGAAUUCUUGCUUACCUGGCGGCGCCAGCGUUGCCCGCGCCGCUGACAGCCAGGAAUUGCCGGAACAGGUGCGAGUUCACGUCGUAAAUCAUGGCUACCGGUGGCUGCACGAGGGUCGAGGUCAGAAAAAUGCAGAAGUUGGGCGCGGGAACGCGGCGUGUGGUGCGGUUUGCUUGAACGUGAGAACGUGUAAGCUGCAAAGCUAUAAUGUAGGCAGGUAUGAUGAAAACGCAUUUGCCAGUCGCAGGGCGCACGGUAAUCAGCGGGAAACAAUCACAAUUGUGUUCAUGCUACCCGCACGCACGAACCACCCCCCAGUACAAUUUCCAACCCAGUCCCGCCGGCUCCAUCCGUCGACGCCAACAAACGCAAACGGAAGUCUGAGGUCUGCCGUAAUCCACACUCUGCUCUCCCUUGUCCACCGUGUCGCAUGCCGCUCCACCACUUCACGCUCCGGUUCACAUUCACCAUCCUCGCAGGAGUCUUAGCACACGUUGCGGGCAUUCCUGUACCCAUACUAGGGUAUGCGAACGCAAUGUCCUAACACUGUCACAGUCAAAAAGUGUUAUAUCGUGUUGUACAAUCUGUGCAUACUCGUACAACUCAGCCGCCACCGCCGUGCAUCAGGCGGUGGCAGGUCCUCAGCUCAAUCCACACACCGUUCUCGGUACAAAACCGCACAAAGUGCUGCGUAACAGAAUUCUUCCAAUCGUGUCCGACCACGACCACACCGGUAUACUUACAGCGCUCUCCGCACGCACCCCGCGUGUGCCGGCGCCACAUACCGCCUCAGCGUCCCUCACCCUGCCUCACCCUGCCUCACCCAGUCCCGACGCCUCACAGCUCCUCCCUGCCCCCCGCUGGCAGGAGCCCCGCCCGUGCCGCCGCCGCCGCCAGUUGCUGCAUGGCCCCCACCACCUCCUGCAGCCCGCGCUCGUCGAUGCGGCAGCUCUCCAGUGCCGCCCAGAAGAGCUCCGCACUGGCCAGCACCAUGGCCAGCGUCACCACCGUC